AACGAACGCUGGCGGCAUGCCUAACACAUGCAAGUCGAACGAGACCUUCGGGUCUAGUGGCGCACGGGUGCGUAACGCGUGGGAACCUGCCCUUAGGUUGGGAAUAACUCCCCGAAGGGGGUGCUAAUAUCGGAAAAUGUCUUCGGACCAAAGAUUUAUCGCCUUUGGCUGGGCCCGCGUUGGAUUAGCUAGUUGGUAGGGUAAAAGCCUACCAAGGCGACGAUCCAUAGCUGGUCUGAGAGGAUGAUCAGCCACACUGGGACUGAGACACGGCCCAGACUCCUACGGGAGGCAGAAGUGGGGAAUAUUGGACAAGGGGCGAAAGCCUGAUCCAGCAAUGCCGCGUGAGUGAUGAAGGCCUUAGGGUUGUAAAGCUCUUUUACCCGGGAUGAUAAUGACAGUACCGGGAGAAUAAGCGCCGGCUAACUCCGUG
rnacentral:rRNA from 1 species